GCCUGGGAAAGAGCGUGAAAGAGGGCAGGAACUACCGUUAACACAUCUGCUGUGGACGCUCUCCUCCACUCCCACCCUGAGUGGGACCCUCCCCUCCUGACUGAGCUCUCGCCGUGGCUAUUUCAGAUUCCUGUGUCGAUGACUUGAAGUUCUUCCCUUUGUUUUUCUGUAGCUUACCUUCUCUGCUCUGCUACAAGCCUCCUGAGAAGUGUCUACUGUGGACUCUUACGUGUCACAUGGGAUGGCCACAGUUCACAGCAAGGUACACACACAGAAGAGGAGAAUGUUCUAUCCACGCCCUCUCGGCCACACCCCUUGGCCUGCUCUGAUAUCCACAGACCUUGUUCUCUUAUUUCUAAAUACGGUGCUAUAGCAGUGGUGAAGGGAAGUCAGCACUGUCUACGCCACAGCACACGGGCGGUCUCCCAGAAGCACCCCACUACAAGACUCAUCACUGCCUGACUUCACAGCCAGGUCGCCCUGGAGACCCUGGGUCUGUGUCCCUCCUGCUGCAGGCACAGCCUCUCCCUAGACCCGGAACAUGGUUUGCUGUGGGACAUGUAGUAUUACUCUCACUCGUGAGGGUGGUCGGCCACCAACAGCAAGCAGCAUGUGUCACUCUGCACACAAACUUCUAUUUUUCUCUUUCCUCAGAAGUUACUGAGAACUCAGGAUAGGUGCUGAUGUUUACUCUCUUGCAGCUUUACAUACCACAGCCAUGAGGUGUCCCCGAGUCGGAGGGCGGCGGGAGUGCUGGAUUUUAGCUCUGUCUCGAGUAGGGUGGGCAAGGAGGCUGUCUUCCUCGACGGUGACCUGAAGAGAUGCACUGUGAGUCCCAGGUUUUCUUUAGGACAACUAGCCUGGACUGGGGACUAAGCCCACCCCACCAACUAUUUCUGGGCAGGCCACAGGUAGAAGGAUUUAUGGGCACAGAUGCUCCAAGGCUGGCUCAGCAUCAGGAAGCUGGAGAGGAUGGGCGAGCAGAGAAAGGACUUCAGAGAGAAGACAGGGACAACGGGGCCUUCACAGACGCAGAGAAAGUAGAGCAGGGAGGGCUAGAGGUCCCCCCCAUAGCGAGUCACCCCUUGCUUUCUGCCCUAGAGGCUCUUGCCCACAGCAGGCCCCCACCUCAUCCAGGAUGCGGUUCUUGGCCCUGGUGAUGGCAGAGCUCAGGGCGUUGAUCCAGGACUCCUUUUCUUCAGGACUCACCGCCAGGAAGAUCAGGUUGGGGGCCUAUGAGGGUUGUACCAAUAAAAAAAGAGAGAUGAUAACCUCAUCCCUCACACCCAGCUCCUGGAAAGAGAGGCUCUGCAUCUGGAAUCAUGAACGACUGAAGAAAACCCUGAGUCUGUGCCUGCAGAAUGCACAGGUUGUUUUAGACAUGAUCAGGGAAGAGCUAAGAGUCACACUGGAUUUGAACUUGACACUGCAGACAAUUAGGGGAGCUGUAACAAAGCUUAGAUAUUAGAGAUCUUUAAAUGUCUCAAGACACA